rnacentral:rRNA from 1 species
AACGAACGCUGGCGGCAGGCCUAACACAUGCAAGUCGAACGCUGUAGCAAUACAGAGUGGCAGACGGGUGAGUAACGCGUGGGAACCUUCCCAGUGGUGCGGAAUAGCUCAGGGAAACUUGAGGUAAUACCGCAUAAGCCCCUAGGGGGAAAGAUUUAUCGCCAUUGGAUGGGCCCGCGUCGGAUCAGCUAGUUGGUGAGGUAAUGGCUCACCAAGGCAACGAUCCGUAGCUGGUUUGAGAGAAUGACCAGCCACACUGGGACUGAGACACGGCCCAGACUCCUACGGGAGGCAGCAGUGGGGAAUCUUGGACAAUGGGCGCAAGCCUGAUCCAGCCAUGCCGCGUGAGUGACGAAGGCCUUAGGUUGUAAGCUCUUUUGCCGGGGACGAUAAUGACGGUACCCGGAGAAUAAGUCCCGGCUAACUUCGUGCCAGCCGCCG